UCUGGGUGAUGUAAACAGUUAAACUGUUCGGCUGCUAACUGAAAGACUGGAGGUUCAAGCCCACCCAGAC
rnacentral:tRNA from 1 species